UACGUAGGGUCCGAGCGUUGUCCGGAAUUAUUGGGCGUAAAGGGCUCGUAGGCGGUUCGUCACGUCGGGAGUGAAAACUCGGAGCUCAACUCCGAGCCUGCUUCCGAUACGGGCAGACUAGAGGUAGGCAGGGGAGAGCGGAACUCCUGGUGUAGCGGUGGAAUGCGCAGAUAUCAGGAAGAACACCGGUGGCGAAGGCGGCUCUCUGGGCCUUACCUGACGCUCAGGCACGAAAGCUAGGGGAGCGAACAGG
rnacentral:rRNA from 1 species